AUGAACGCUGGCGGCAGGCCUAACACAUGCAAGUCGAGCGGCCGUAGCAAUACGGCAGCGGCAGACGGGAGAGUAACACGUGGGAACGCGCCCUUUGGUUCGGAAUAACUCAGUGAAACUUGAGCUAAUACCGGAUAAGCCCUUACGGGGAAAGAUUUAUCGCCAAAGGAACGGCCCGCGUCCGAUUAGCUAGUUGGUGAGGUAACGGCUCACCAAGGCGACGAUCGGUAGCUGGUCUGAGAGGAUGACCAGCCUCACUGGGACUGAGACACGGCCCAGACUCCUACGGGAGGCAGCAGUGGGGAAUAUGGGACAAUGGGCGCAAGCCGGAGCCAGCCAUGCCGCGUGAGUGAUGAAGGCCUUAGGGGUGUAAAGCUCUUUGAGCAGGGAAGAUAAUGACGGUACCUGCAGAAAAAGCCCCGGCUAACUUCGU
rnacentral:rRNA from 1 species